ACUCUCGGCAACGGAUAUCUCGGCUCUCGCAUCGAUGAAGAACGUAGCGAAACGCGAUACUUGGUGUGAAUUGCAGAAUCCCGUGAACCAUCGAGUUUUUGAACGCAAGUUGCGCCCGAAACCAUCAGGUUGAGGGCACGUCUGCCUGGGCGUCACGC
rnacentral:rRNA from 1 species